rnacentral:lncRNA from 1 species
UUAUUUCUAAAACAAUGGCGGACGAGAUGGCUACGGUAGCGCAAGAGGAGCCUACAGACCGUACAUGUAAGUAUCAGCGGAAUUAAACAUGGUACUGAUAUUAAAAUGUACUACUAACAUGCCAUUCUCAGAUUAAAGCCAGCGACAUGAGUAUUUGGUGGCGUUAACGAUGUAUAUGAUGUAUACCGACUGUUAGCAUACCUAGCUAGCUAGGUAGCAUUAGAUGCCAUUGGAUCUGCAUGGCAGUUAUGAUAAGCUAGCUGGCUAAUCCACCACCCGGUCCUCUUUGCGAGUCCGGUGAUGGUGCACUUUUAUCGGACACUUUUAGCUUGACGAGCGGGGGCAGGUGGCGGGCUCCAGGCGCUUGUCAGUAGUCGGACAGUGUUAAACAACGGCUGUUCUGUUAAACAAUCGAAAUAGCAAUUUUAAUAAUGGAUAUGCUCAGUUUAAUAACGGGUUAACAUGACAAUGCGAACGUUUGCCCACACGCCGCCCGAUAAUUAAUACCGUUACGUUAGCUAUCGUUACGAGAUGGCUACGGUAGCUAGCUAGGUAGCAUUAGAUGCCAUUGGAUCUGCAUGGCAGUUAUGAUAAGCUAGCUGGCUAAUCCACCACCCGGUCCUCUUUGCCAGUGCGGCGCUUUUAUCGGACACUUUUAGCUUGACGAGCGGGAAAUAAUUGUAGCUUUCAAUCAUUGUUGUGUGUUUUUUAUUUUUUAAUGUCGUGGUAUUUCACAUGUCUAGGGACAGACGAGGACACGAGGGCCUUAAUCCCGUGGCGGUCGCUGCACAAAUCCCUCUUCACGGGGAAGAGGAACGCCUCCGUGACUGGAUUUGAGGUCUUCAUAAAGGAGAGCGGGCUUGGGAGGUUGGAUCCCAAGCUCGUGAAAAAGAGGUGGGAGAACCUCAUCCACAAAUAUAAGGUCAGAUUAAGCCUAGUCCAAUAAAGUAUCUUUCUUGAUCAUAACUUUGCCCCUGUAGAGUAACACACUUGCACAAUGUAGAGAUGGCAUGGCUAGUGAGUAUUUACAUGCAGUGUACAUGUACAUGGAUGCAAUAUAUUAUGAUUAAGGUGAUUGUUGUUACUCUUGUUCUUAUCUAUGUAUUGUGCUCAAAGUAAUGUAAAGUAAUCGUAUGGUCAGCCUUCAGUUCAAUAACCAAUUACCAGAUCAGUUGAAGGCGCAAUGAUGUGCAACUCCAGUUUGGCUGUCUUUUCAUCCGCAGGAGCUCAAGAAACCCCGGACGGGUGUGAGCACAGAGGGGGGUGGGGUCACUGCUGCUUCUUGGAAGUGGUAUGCACUUAUGGAUGAGGCACUGGGGGCCAGGCCAUCUGUGACCCCUCCAGUCCUCUUUGCCUCAUCCAGCCGGGAAGUGGCAGGGACCCCCCCCCCCCCCCCGCUGUGGUCACACCCCUCCCAAUCAGAAAUUUGAGUGGAGCUUCCUCCACAUUGUCAACCCCAAAAAGGCGGAGGGUAGACAAUGUGGAGGUUGCUAGGGUCAUAGAGGAGAAUGACAGGAGGA